rnacentral:rRNA from 1 species
UACCAGCACCCCGAGUGGUCGGGACGUUUAUUGGGCCUAAAGCAUCCGUAGCCGGUUCUACAAGUCUUCCGUUAAAUCCAACUGCUUAACAGGUGGGCUGCGGAAGAUACUAUAGAGCUAGGAGGCGGGAGAGGCAAGCGGUACUCGAUGGGUAGAGGUAAAAUCCGUUGAUCCAUUGAAGACCACCAGUGGCGAAGGCGGCUUGCCAGAACGCGCUCGACGGUGAGGGAUG